UGGCGCCCAGCGUGGGGGCUCCUGGCAUGAAGGAGUCAAUGAGGGAGCCGUUCGAGACAGCUGGCUGAAACUGAAAGCAAAUUGAACUGAGCAAACUAAAUCAAGGAUCAAAGCUAAAAGCAACAGGACAUUAAAUCAAGUACCACAGCCUGUGCGGAUGACUACCCAACAUGCCUCCCGAGUCAUGGUGGGUGAAUGGUGACCCCAUUCCCUUUCCCGGACAAGGGUCAAGCAUUGAGCGAACAUGAAUUGUUCGUGGGAGGUCUUAUAAAGGCAUUAAAGACAAGAGGGGUAAGGGUUAGAAGAAAAGAAUUAUUGCAGUAUUUUCAAUUUAUCCAUAAGGUUUGCCCUA
rfam:Cavia porcellus supercont2_4 genomic scaffold, whole genome shotgun sequence.